GUUAAGGCCCAAACAUCUAGCUAGGGUUUUCAAGGGUAUGGCAUAUAUUAGCAGUGACGCUUCAUUUAUUUUCUUGUUACCGUCACCGUGAGUCCGCGUUUUGAGAAAAAAGUGUCUCCACCAUGAGAGCCAAGUGGAAGAAGAAGCGUAUGAGGAGGUUGAAGAGGAAGAGACGAAAGAUGAGACAGCGAUCUAAGUAGACUUCGCAUUUCAAUCUGCUUCCUUGUUUCUGUUACUUCUCCAAGUACUUUUGUUUGAUCUUGUUUCAGUUUUAUGUUUUCUUGGCUUCCUUCUUGUAGAAUUUGUAUGGAUCCUUCAUUAAUGUUAAACCUUUAUCUAUCUAAUCACAUUUUCACCA